GCCCGUGUAGAGGGUGGGAAUCUGAAAUUCGGUCUCUGAGAGCUGCGGGCUGGUUGGAUUUGCCCGAGUGUUGUCCCUUGCCGUUUUAUUAAGAGGCUGCUUUCCCGUUAUUGGCGAUUCUGCUUCUUCCGCUUUCCUCCUGUCUCUUGGUGGGGAUUUAGGUUCCGGCUCGUGGAAAAUAGUCGUGGCCUGGAUUUCAGGGCCCCUGGCACCUCGCACUGAGCUCUCCAGGAAUUAAAAAGCAUAAUGUUUUCCGUGGCAAUGCGAUGUCUUCUGUUCCUCACACCAAACUUCAUGAAGGCCCCAAGCUGGUCUGGUCUUCAGUGUCUGCCCUGAGGGUAAUCAUCAUGAGGGGACCACAAGCAGGAUCACAGAAAAAGAAUAGAGAUGCAAAGUAGUCUGUCCUGAACCUAAACUAACAGGAGGGGGACAGGAGCUGUUUGGGAAGCCAGUGACAGACGUUCAGAAGCCUUCUGUGCAUAGGAAGAAGCAAAAAGCAGCUUAAUGAAUUAGAGAUGAUUGGAGGUGGUUGAUAAGGACCGAGUCCAAAGGGCCAGUACUUAAGUGGCUGAAUAGUGAGGUUACAAGCAGUCAUUAUUAAGG